AGAACGAACGCUGGCGGCAUGCCUAACACAUGCAAGUCGAACGAGACCUUCGGGUCUAGUGGCGCACGGGUGCGUAACGCGUGGGAAUCUGCCCUUGGGUUCGGAAUAACAGCGAGAAAUUGCUGCUAAUACCGGAUGAUGACGUAAGUCCAAAGAUUUAUCGCCCAAGGAUGAGCCCGCGUAGGAUUAGCUUGUUGGUGAGGUAAGAGCUCACCAAGGCGACGAUCCUUAGCUGGUCUGAGAGGAUGAUCAGCCACGCUGGGACUGAGACACGGCCCAGACUCCUACGGGAGGCAG
rnacentral:rRNA from 1 species